AGUUGUAGCUGGCCUCNAGGGGCAUGUGCACGCUCUCUUCCG
rnacentral:rRNA from 1 species